CCUACGGGAGGCUGCAGUGAGGAAUAUUGGUCAAUGGGCUUACGCCUGAACCAGCCAAGUCGCGUGAGGGAAGACUGCCCUAUGGGUUGUAAACCUCUUUUGUCAGGGAGCAACGCCGGCUACGUGUAGCCGGCCUGAGAGUCCCUGCAGAAAAAGCAUCGGCUACCUCCGUGCCAGCAGCCGCGGUAAUACGGAGGAUGCGAGCGUUCUCCGGAUUUAUUGGGUUUAAAGGGUGCGUAGGCGGAAUGCCAAGUCAGCGGUAAAAUCGCGGGGCUCAACCUCGCUCCGCCGUUCAAACUGGCGGUCUGGAGUGGGCGAGAAGUAUGCGGAAUGCGUGGUGUAGCGGUGAAAUGCAUAGAUAUCACGCAGAACUCCGAUUGCGAAGGCAGCAUACCGGCGCCCAACUGACGCUGAAGCACGAAAGCGUGGGUAUCGAACAGGAUUAGAUACCCGAGUAGUC
rnacentral:rRNA from 1 species